ensembl:snRNA U6 U6 spliceosomal RNA
GUGCUGGCUUCGGCAGCACACAUACAAAACUGGAAUGAUACAGAGAGGAUUAGCGCAGCCCCUGUGCUAGGGUGACACGCAGAUUCGUGAAGAACGGGGAUAAAAGUUG